AUUGAACGCUGGCGGCAUGCCUUACACAUGCAAGUCGAACGGUAACGGGCCUUCGGGUGCCGACGAGUGGCGAACGGGUGAGUAAUGCAUCGGAACGUACCUUUCAGUGGGGGAUAACGUAGCGAAAGUUACGCUAAUACCGCAUAUUCUGUGAGCAGGAAAGCAGGGGAUCGCAAGACCUUGCGCUGAUUGAGCGGCCGAUGUCAGAUUAGCUAGUUGGUGAGGUAAAGGCUCACCAAGGCGACGAUCUGUAGCGGGUCUGAGAGGAUGAUCCGCCACACUGGAACUGAGACACGGUCCAGACUCCUACGGGAGGCAGCAGUGGGGAAUUUUGGACAAUGGGGGCAACCCUGAUCCAGCCAUGCCGCGUGAGUGAAGAAGGCCUUCGGGUUGUAAAGCUCUUUCGGCCGGGAAGAAAUCGUAUGGGCUAAUACCCUGUGCGGAUGACGGUACCGGCAUAAGAAGCACCGGCUAACUACGUG
rnacentral:rRNA from 1 species